UGUGCCCCGGACUCUGGGAUAGCCGGUCGAAAGGCCGGGUAAUACCAGAUGAUAUACCUUUGUCGCAUGACAGAGGUCUCAAAGGUCCGCCGGUCUGGGAGCAGGCGAUUUCGUAUCAGCUAGUUGGUGAGGUAACGGCUCACCAAGGCGACGACGCGUAGCCGGACUGAGAGGUUGGCCGGCCACAUUGGGACUGAGACACUGCCCAGACUCCUACGGGGGGCUGCAGUAACGAAUCUUCCGCAAUGCACGAAAGUGUGACGGAGCGACGCCGCGUGUGGGACGAAGCCCUUCGGGGUGUAAACCACUGUCAGAGGAAAGAAAGUUCUGAUCUACCUCAGAGGAAGAGGCGGCUAACUCUGUGCCAGCAGCCGCGGUAAUACAGAGGCCUCGAGCGUUAGGCGGAAUCACUGGGCUUAAAGCGUGUGUAGGCGGACUUCUAAGUACCUUGUGAAAUCCCACGGCUUACCCGUGGAACUGCUGGGUAUACUGGUUGUCUUGAGCCAUCUAGGGGCUACCGGAACAAGUGGUGGAGCGGUGAAAUGCGUAGAUAUCAUUUGGAACGCCAAUGGUGAAAACAGGUAGCUGGGGAUGUGCUGACGCUGAGACACGAAAGCCAGGGGAGCGAACGGGAUUAGAUACCCCGGUAGUCCUGGCCGUAAACGAUGUCGACUAGAUCGUGGUACCUCUGACGGUUUCACGGUCGAAGCAAAAGUGCUAAGUCGACCGCCUGGGAAGUACGGUCGCAAGGCUAAAACUCAAAGGAAUUGACGGGGGCUCACACAA
rnacentral:rRNA from 1 species